rnacentral:rRNA from 1 species
CAGCGCUUACUGCGCGGCGAAAACCUUACACACAGUGUCUUUUUGAUACAGAACUCUUGCUUUGGUUUGGCCUAGAGAUAGGUUGGGCCAGAGGUUUAACAAAACACAAUUUAAUUAUUUUUACAGUUAGUCAAAUUUUGAAUUAAUCUUCAAAACUUUCAACAACGGAUCUCUUGGUUCUCGCAUCGAUGAAGAACGCAGCGAAAUGCGAUAAGUAAUAUGAAUUGCAGAUUUUCGUGAAUCAUCGAAUCUUUGAACGCACAUUGCGCCCUCUGGUAUUCCAGAGGGCAUGCCUGUUUGAGCGUCAUUUCUCUCUCAAACCCCCGGGUUUGGUAUUGAGUGAUACUCUUAGUCGGACUAGGCGUUUGCUUGAAAAGUAUUGGCAUGGGUAGUACUAGAUAGUGCUGUCGACCUCUCAAUGUAUUAGGUUUAUCCAACUCGUUGAAUGGUGUGGCGGGAUAUUUCUGGUAUUGUUGGCCCGGCCUUACAACAACCAAACAAGUUUGACCUCAAAUCAGGUAGGAAUACCCGCUGAACUUAAGCAUAUCAAUAAGCGGGGGA